GGUUGCAUAAUCAAGUAACGUGGAUUUAAAUUACUACAUAUGAAAAAUUUGUACGGAGUGCGAUGAAAAGAAAAGCAAAUGGGACCUUUUUUUUUUAAACUGGGCUCUUCAGUAUAAACCAGAGGACAAUACACAAUAGGUUCGCUUAAAUACGAAGCCAAUUAUGACCACAGAAAAAACGUGAGAAGAGCACGUCAAAAAAAAAAUGACGAGAAACUUCUAGUUCUUGUUUAAAAUAGAAACAACCCCAUAAAACCUUAAACCCUAGAUUGCAGAAUUAAGCUGUAAAGUUUGAGCGAUUUAUUUGAUGGAGAUGACUUCCAUGAUCAAUCAGUUAGAGACUUAUUAAUUGAUCUUUCUCGACAUAUAAUGGCUCGUUGAGUGAUGUUUCACUAGCGUGUGGACAUACACCAAAGCCUCACGGAGUCACCACAAAAGCUUGAUUAAUUUGGAGGAGUUUUGCGUCUGGAUGUGUGAGGAGCUAUACUUUCCAUUAGGUUCAGUAAAAUGUUGGCUGAAAUCAGCAUCGCUCCAUCAUCACAAGAUCCUUACCUCUGGCAUGAUCUAUCAGCCUCGCUCCAUCAGCAUAAGAUGUUAAGAUCCUAACUCUGCUACGAUCAGCCUCGCUCCAUCACCAUUAGAUCCUCACUCUGCUACGAUCAGCCUCGCUCAAUCACCAUAAGAUCCUAACUCUCACUGCUACGAUCAGCCUUGCUACAUCAGCACAAGAUCCUAAUUUCUGCUACUUUUGAAUAAUCAUCUCAUACAGUCCAACUCCUUUGGUAAAUCUAUAAAUCACUUGCUACUUAGUGUAGAGUGAUAUGUGCAUUAAUACAUAGUUAAUUAGUUAUACUCUCAUGUAAAUGGUUCUCUCAAUGCUUUAUAAAGCUUACAUAGUUGAAGACUCCAUAACUUGAUUUAAUUAAAGUAUUUUGGAUGAUGAAAGUCAAACGUGUUAUGAGUGGUUUAGUAUAUGAUUAAUGGGCAUACAGAAUUAACAUGAUAUUAUCUUUAUGCAUAUUUGGUAUUCUUGUUUUAUCUAAAAUAAAUAAGAUGGUUAUAUUUAACAAAGUUGUUACAGCUGCCGAAACACUUAGCAUAAGUUUAUUAUGUAUUAUAGUAUAUGUUUGAUAAAUUAUUUACUUGUGUGUAGGUUGAAAAUAUAAUCUGCUUAAUGAGAAUAAUAUUACUGUUAUUUUCGAACUGCUUUCUUCAAUAACAGAAUGCUGUUUUAUACUUAUUCUAGAUAAAUAUUUUGUUUUUGAUAAGCAAGAUAAUAGGAUAAAUAUUGCAGAUUAAUCUCAGAGAUUUCAUUAUUAUUAUUAUUAUUAUUAUUUUAUUUCUCAAAAAUUUUACCUAAUGAAAUAAUGAGUGUAAGUAUAUAGUAGAACAUCAAAAAACAAUUUAUCUGAAGGGGAAGAAAUAUAGCGAAGAGAAUUUCCCAUGUUUGAUUUCAAAAUUUAUGUAACAUUCCGUAAAAAAAAAAAAAAAAAAAAAA